GUGAUCAGAAUCAAAAUCAAAAUUAAAAUUAAAAUAAAAAUUUGAAUCUAUAAAGGAGAGUAGGGAUUGAGUUCUAUGUAAAUUGGGCCAUUCCCAUUCCACUCUGAAAUCAAAAUGAGAAUGAAACUCCUCCCAACCAAAUGGUGGGAAUGGGAGUCACCCAUUGUCAUUUCGAUUCUAGACCUCUACUCCCCUCAACCAAGCACCCCC
rnacentral:lncRNA from 1 species